ACACACACACACACCUGCUGAGUAGCAAACUGACGAGAAAGUUGCCUUCUUCAUUCUGUGCUGUUUAAGGUCUCCAGCUCUCCUUUAAGUCUGCCUCCUGUCUUAAAGCGACCGUGACAUCAGUUACCCUCUGUGGCACACAGUGUUUUCAGAUAAUGGUACAGAAGCAGUAACUAAUUAUUGUUUCAAGGAAGAGGCCACGGUCUCCAGUUGCUAUUUGAGAGAUUUAAAAGUGUUAGUCUAGUUUAGUGUUUUGUUUUUCUUUUUAAAAAUUCCACUGAGGGGCUGGGUUGCUUAGAUAACCUUUCUGCUCCAGAGAAAGCCUGUGUGUUCUGGAAACGGAGGCUUUAGCGGAAGUGGGCUAACAAAACCACCACGCAUGGCCCAUGAACAGAAGGCACGAGGAACGUGGUGGCUACUUCUGCGGAAAUGAGGAGUCCAUUUAUAGACCACGUGGUACUGGCUGGAAUUCGGUGGAUGGGCAGCUGUGACAAGGGUUAAGAUUGGGAAUGUGCAGGGCACAAGUGACAUUUUGCAGGGCCUUGUGGAGACCAAGAAAUGGAGUAGCUAUCGGGUGCAAUGGGACACAAUAGUGAAAUAGUUGGGGUUUGCAGCUCAAGUUCAAGAGGGUGGUUUAGAGGUGACAGGUAGGCUCUCUUACCUCAGACAUCCUGACAAAUCAAUGAAGCUAAUGUAUGAACCUUGUGUUACCUGCUGCUUGAGAACCCUGAAUUCUCUUUUUCUACCACUUUCACAGGAAAGAUGGUGGACCUAGUGGGCCCUACGGCAUACUGCAGAACCUCUCUUCUAGAAGGAGUUCCACGUGACCCGUGUGUCUUUGUAGACCUGCUUUCCUGCCAAGGAGAAAGGAAAGUUUGAGCAGAGGUGAGGGAAGAGGACUUAUGUAAAAAUGUAUGUUGGCAGCUAUUCCUAGUUCUCCAAGGGAAAUUAAAGAGCAGCCCCCUGUGGCUGGCUGAGUCAAUACCUUACAAGGAUGUCUUCACCCUCAUCCCCAGAACCUGUGAGCCUGUUUCCUUAUAUGGCAAAGACUUUGGAAAUGUGAACAAAGAGUGCAGGUGGUCAUGAGAAACUAGAAAUGACAAGAAGAUGGCUCCUCUCCCUCCAGGUAGAGUGACAGACUCUCUGUUAGCCCAGUGAAAUCCAUUGCAAGCCCUCCACCAAAUAGCUAAGUAUGUGUUGGUUUUAGUUUCCAAGUAUUGCAGAAAACAUAGGAAGCAGAUGACUCCCUUCGAUUUUCUCCUUGACCUUCGGAGUGGCAGGAACUUUGCUUCGUUGGUUGUUAGGAGGCACUGGGCUGUGGGGAAACAGAACACGGGUGCCCUCCCAGAAAGUUACAGUCUAGUUUAGCUCAGCCACCUGCCUGCUGGUGGGAACCAGGUGGUGGUGGGUAACUUGUAACCCUUCACCCACUCUUCUUAUCCUUGGAGUGAAUGAGACAUUGACUACCUUCAGGGUGACAUGGACACGAUGGAGCAAGUUAAAGAACAUGGACAUAUACAAGUUCCCACGGAGAACAUGGGGAAAAUCUGGGAUCAGGCAGGCAUCUUGAAUUUGAUUGGUGAUAGGUUGGAGUUUUCUAGGUAAGGGGUGGGGACAGAGCCAACAGGCAGAAGGCCAAGUGUGUGGUCUAUGAUCUACCUUCGUCACACAGGGCCAUGUUGACCUCAGUGUCCAUUCUGGGACUGUGAUUGGCCCUCUGGGCCCUCUCCACGAUAUUGGGACCUGCCAGGCUUUCUUAACUACAGCAGCUCAAGUGUCAUGAUGUCAGGAGGGAAGACGUGAAAGGCUCCAGGUCGCUGCACGGCUUUGGUGCAGGUUGUUGGCAGUGUGAUACCAGAACUCCCUCUCCCAGCCAUUCUAACAGGGUUCUACAGAGUGCCCACCAGCAAGACCUUUAUCAGGUGUCAUCCUUCAAUCUCGGACAUUCCUGCCUGCAGAAUUGUGACUAUAAUAAACCUUUCUUCUUUAUAAUCAUCUUCUCUGUGAUAUUCAAGGACAGCAACAGAAAAUAGACUAAGAAAGGUUACUGAGUCCUGCUUCUUAACUGUCCUGUUUCUGGAAUACUGUAAUUACAAGUAUGAACAGUCACAUCCAGUUGAAGAACUCAUGAAUGAAUGUGUGUUAAAUGAAUUCCUAUUACCCAGCUAUCUCUGAGAAGAUACUGAUAACGUGGAUAUAUGGCAAAGUCUUCUACCUGACACACCAAGUCUCUCUCCUUAGAAAGUAGUCAUCACAGCAUGUAGCUCCAUCGAUAGCACAAACAGAAGAAGGCUUGAGUUCAUUCCUCAGCCCUGCGCAAACCAGGAGUGUCGUGCAUGCUUGUAAUGUCAGCAUUCAAGAGGUCUAGACACAAGGAUCAGAAAUUCAGGGUCUUCUCUGGAUCCAUACAGAGUUUGAGGCCCACCUAAGCUAUAUAAUACUACAUGUGUAUACGGGAGAAGGUGACCAUAGCCCACAUUCUUUCCCAUGUUGUUCAAUGGUGCGAUGUAAAUAACUCAAUCUCAGAGACAGAACGCAGUCUAUUCCUUAGAAAGAGCCACUUCUUGUUUUCUUGGAGUCCUGCAGACGGAGACUACAGUGAUGGCCACAGUAGAAAACAAGAGAUAAGACGCUCAUGGGAAAGAUGCCCUCCCUGUACCAGGAAAAAAGAAACAUUCUUCGUUGGGGAGUUAGAGCCAAAAGAAUUCUGUACAAACAGACCUUGCUAAAAUAGUUCUUAUCUUCUUGUAGUUUCCAAAAAUAAUUGAGUUAUUUUGCCAGUUCUUCCUAUUAAGCCUCACACAAAACCACAUAGAGCCUGCAUUUCUCAGUGUCAUUUCUUCAUGAGUGCUCUUGAGCCAUACAAAGCAUAUUGAAUUGGUGUGCUUUUGUUGCAUUAGUCUAUAUGUGUCCACUUGAUUCUUGGAACUCCAUCAGAAUCCCUGAGAGAGCACAGUUGAAGCCUCCCUUACACCAUGACUGUCCUCAAGGCCUUCCCACACACUGGGCAUGUGUCUUAUGGAGAGAUGGCUUUCCAGAUGCUAGCAAGUAAAGACUAGCGCUCUACCGUGCACUACUGCCUUGGUGAAGGUAUGUGGGAGCUCUUUGUACAUCACUGUGAACUGCCUCUAUGUCUCCACCAUCCCCUGGGUGCUAGUCCUUGUGGCAUGGCCUCAACAUCCUUCUUGAAACUGGGUACCAGUAACAGAGACAAAGGUGAGAGCUUUCAGAAGAAAACGCUGUCAAAAACGUCUAUAAUACUGAGUCCCAGUGAGAUACUGUCCAUUGAGACGCUGGGCUCAUAGCUGAUAAUGGGGAAAAAAAGACAUGCUGAUAGAUGGGCAACUUUUAUUACUGUUAGGGGCUGUAAAUCUCCCACCAUGAAUCACACAGGCAUUGUACAGUAUAUCCAAUGCUUCUAUUAAUGAACAAAAGUCUUAAGGUUAUAGUCAGUUAAAGUUCCAAUUUGCAACAACUGAGUUAUAAAUUUCUAUUUCCAACAUUUUUGAGACUUGACUAAACACCUAAUCAUCCCAAGCCCCCAACCCACAAAUAAACUUG
rnacentral:sRNA from 1 species